CGAAUGCUGACAUAAGUAACGAUAAAGCGGGUGAAAAGCCCGCUCGCCGGAAGACCAAGGGUUCCUGUCCAACGUUAAUCGGGGCAGGGUGAGUCGACCCCUAAGGCGAGGCCGAAAGGCGUAGUCGAUGGGAAACAGGUUAAUAUUCCUGUACUUGGUGUUACUGCGAAGGGGGGACGGAGAAGGCUAUGUUGGCCGGGCGACGGUUGUCCCGGUUUAAGCGUGUAGGCUGGUUUUCCAGGCAAAUCCGGAAAAUCAAGGCUGAGGCGUGAUGACGAGGCACUACGGUGCUGAAGCAACAAAUGCCCUGCUUCCAGGAAAAGCCUCUAAGCAUCAGGUAACAUCAAAUCGUACCCCAAACCGACACAGGUGGUCAGGUAGAGAAUACCAAGGCGCUUGAGAGAACUCGGGUGAAGGAACUAGGCAAAAUGGUGCCGUAACUUCGGGAGAAGGCACGCUGAUAUGUAGGUGAAGUCCCUCGCGGAUGGAGCUGAAAUCAGUCGAAGAUACCAGCUGGCUGCAACUGUUUAUUAAAAACACAGCACUGUGCAAACACGAAAGUGGACGUAUACGGUGUGACGCCUGCCCGGUGCCGGAAGGUUAAUUGAUGGGGUCAGCGCAAGCGAAGCUCUUGAUCGAAGCCCCGGUAAACGGCGGCCGUAACUAUAACGGUCCUAAGGUAGCGAAAUUCCUUGUCGGGUAAGUUCCGACCUGCACGAAUGGCGUAAUGAUGGCCAGGCUGUCUCCACCCGAGACUCAGUGAAAUUGAACUCGCUGUGAAGAUGCAGUGUACCCGCGGCAAGACGGAAAGACCCCGUGAACCUUUACUAUAGCUUGACACUGAACAUUGAGCCUUGAUGUGUAGGAUAGGUGGGAGGCUUUGAAGUGUGGACGCCAGUCUGCAUGGAGCCGACCUUGAAAUACCACCCUUUAAUGUUUGAUGUUCUAACGUGGACCCGUGAUCCGGGUUGCGGACAGUGUCUGGUGGGUAGUUUGACUGGGGCGGUCUCCUCCUAAAGAGUAACGGAGGAGCACGAAGGUUGGCUAAUCCUGGUCGGACAUCAGGAGGUUAGUGCAAUGGCAUAAGCCAGCUUGACUGCGAGCGUGACGGCGCGAGCAGGUGCGAAAGCAGGUCAUAGUGAUCCGGUGGUUCUGAAUGGAAGGGCCAUCGCUCAACGGAUAAAAGGUACUCCGGGGAUAACAGGCUGAUACCGCCCAAGAGUUCAUAUCGACGGCGGUGUUUGGCACCUCGAUGUCGGCUCAUCACAUCCUGGGGCUGAAGUAGGUCCCAAGGGUAUGGCUGUUCGCCAUUUAAAGUGGUACGCGAGCUGGGUUUAGAACGUCGUGAGACAGUUCGGUCCCUAUCUGCCGUGGGCGCUGGAGAACUGAGGGGGGCUGCUCCUAGUACGAGAGGACCGGAGUGGACGCAUCACUGGUGUUCGGGUUGUCAUGCCAAUGGCACUGCCCGGUAGCUAAAUGCGGAAGAGAUAAGUGCUGAAAGCAUCUAAGCACGAAACUUGCCCCGAGAUGAGUUCUCCCUGACCCUUUAAGGGUCCUGAAGGAACGUUGAAGACGACGACGUUGAUAGGCCGGGUGUGUAAGCGCAGCGAUGCG
rnacentral:rRNA from 1 species